rnacentral:rRNA from 1 species
UAGGGAAUCUUCGGCAAUGGGGGGAACCCUGACCGAGCAACGCCGCGUGAGUGAAGAAGGUUUUCGGAUCGUAAAGCUCUGUUGUUAAGGAAGAACGAGUGUGAGAAUGGAAAGUUCAUGCUGUGACGGUACUUAACCAGAAAGGGACGGCUAACUACGUGCCAGCAGCCGCGGUAAUACGUAGGUCCCGAGCGUUGUCCGGAUUUAUUGGGCGUAAAGCGAGCGCAGGCGGUGAGAAAAGUCUGAAGUGAAAGGCAUUGGCUCAACCAUUGUAGGCUUUGGAAACUGUUUAGCUUGAGGGCAGAAGGGGAGAGUGGAAUUCCAUGUGUAGCGGUGAAAUGCGUAGAUAUAUGGAGGACAACCGGUGGCGAAAGCGACUCUCUGGUCUGUAACUGACGCUAAGACUCGAAAGCGUGGGGAGCGAACAGG